AACAUCGCGCACCUGCGGGAACCUGCGGAAGGAUCAUUACAAGAAGGGGUGCUGACGGCUCUCUCGGGCGCCGUCAGUCCGCUCUCUACCUUGCCUACUGCACCGUUUGUUGCUUCCUGGCGGCGGCCCCUUGCCGCCAGGAACCCAAUCAAAUCCUGUAUAAGCAUUGACAAACUGAACAAAACCUAAAUCGUACAACUUUUAGCAACGGAUCU
rnacentral:misc_RNA from 1 species